AUGGGAGGGCAGGAGGGAGGGAAGGAAGAUGGGAGGGCAGGCAGGAGGAAAAGAGGAUGGUGGAGGGAAGGAAGGAGAGAAGAUGGGAGGAAGGAUGGGAGGGAGGGAAGAUGGGCUGAAGAGAGGGAGGAAGGUAGCCUCCCUAGCCUUUCCAGCUCCGGGGACUGUUACAGGCACAGGCAACCUGCGGGGGGGCUGGGUCUGGUGUUAGGGAAGAGGAGCUGGAAAACACCGUCUACGCCCACCUCUCCCGUGACGAGCCUAGCAGAUUGGCAUCAUGGAACCCUGCAGAUGUAUGUAUUGCUCCUAAAAUGCAUGUCAAAUACGGGGGAGCCACUUUAAACACCCCAGCUCCAGCCCUUACAGAACAGCAAAUACACCCAGCACUCCCCACUCCUUGCAACAGAGGUGAAACUUCGGAGAUUUCUUUGGGGAAAUAAAAGAGCCUAUGGAAGAGAAAGACUUCAAAUUCUGGUAUUUUUAGGGGUCUCUCAUCAUAUGGUUCUCAUCUUUCUCACCCCAA
rnacentral:lncRNA from 1 species